rnacentral:rRNA from 8 species
GGUAGGACUACCCGCUGAACUUAAGCAUAU